CCAAAGGUACGGAGUGCAGAUAUCAGUUUAACUGGCUCCUAGAUAUAUGCAUUUCAAGAUCUCAAGUAUUCACAACAGGCAAAUAUGGGCCCUUUAUCAACUAAGAUUGCUUAAGUUGCAAGAUGAAUUAAAGCGGCUAUAUCAUAACCGUCUCUAAACAAAGAGAAAUUUUCAUUUCCUUGAUGUUACAGAUACAUAGAUGAUGAAAGCAUCUGAUCAAGCAAAAAGCUCACAAAAGUACACAUGGCAGAAAAGCUAAGAGUAACUCUAGUAGCAAGUUAAGUCAGCCAUGCACUGUGAGGCUGCAUCGACGUUCUUCUACCUUUCAACCAAUUGAAUUCCAGUUAACAUCUCAUGGGGAUUCAGAGCUGAUGACAAUAGAGCAGGUGAUGAAAUAACUCUGUGUUGUAUGUGCAUUUCCUGCUUCAUUAUAUGAGCUACACCAGUGAUGGACUGAUGAAUAUACCUAAUAGAUCUAAUUCUGCUACUUUAGUGUAGAAACAUAGCAUGUAUACUCGAAAGUUUAUUUACUUGGCAGUUAGGACAUCACGUAUAGAAUCUAGCGUCAUUCACUUCAGUGUAUAAACACCAUUCAGUAAAAUGGUAAAAAUGUAAUAUCCUGGAAGUAUAUUUCCCAACAAAUACUCCACAGUACUUAAGAUGUAACCACUAUAUAAUUGAAAGUAUAUAGAAGCUUCCAUUUCCUUGAUGUUACAGAUACAUAGAUCAUGAAACCAUCUGAACUGAUCAAGCUACAAGCUCACAAAAGUACACAUGGCAGAAAAGCUAACAACUAAAAAGGUGGAGCUGAUAUCAAGUUAAGUUAGCCUUAGCCAUGCAUUACAAGGUCGUCUUCUACUACCUUUCAACCAAUUGAAUUCCAGUCAACAUGUAAUGGGGAUUCAGAGUUUGAUGACUAUCAACAGGUGAUAAAAUAGCUUUGUUUGUUGUGUGUGAAUUUCCUGCUACAGCCGGGCUAGAUAAGCUACACCAGUCAUGGGGCUGAUGAAUAUACCUAAUUGAUGUAAUUCAGCUACUUCUGUGUUGAACCAUAGGCGCUCUACGUUCUACAACAAGCUUCCUAAGUUAGAUUUAGAAUCAGAAGCCGCACCUCCACCAAGUGUUCCAAGGAAUUUUCUAGGCAUUACAUCAAACAUCUCACACAAAAAUUUACAAGGGAAUUUUCAAAUAUAGUGCAAAACACAUUCUAGAUGAACUUCUUGGAAUUUGUUAAGCAUGGCUGCAUUUCCCAAAUCAAAAUAUAGCAUAAAGCCAUGAAGUAUAGGCAAAAGACCUAACAGCCAGUCUGCAUAAACUUUUAUCAAACUGGACAUUAAAAACAAGACAGCUGCAACAGUUAGAACAGACUUAGGCCUUACAUUUCAGUAAAAUGUCAAAACAAUCAGUAGUAGUAAAAUUGAACGACUUCACUUAUUCCUACUAAGUCAAGAAAUCAAAGAUUACUACAUCAUUUGUACUGGAAUGAGGGUGCCAAAAACCACUCUAAAAUUUAUAAGAGAUUUUUCACAUAUAGUGCAAAAUGCAUUCUAGACAAACUUCUUGAAAAUAGCAAAGCAUAUCCUGAUGCCUGCAUGCCCCAAAACUAAAUAUAUAGCAUAAAGUAUAGUCAAAAGCCCUACCUGCCCAUCAUACCAACAGUAGCUAAAUGAAAUCUGCUUAAGCUUGUACCAAACUGAACCUUAAAAUCAAGAUAGCUGCAACAGUUACAACAGCUUGCCAUAUCAUCAGUCACGGGAACCACAUUUAGAGAGUCCUUCCAUCGUGUAUUGCAGGCAUAUAUAUGUUCAGCAUUCAGAACAUUAUGCAACGCCAACUGAUUUGACUUAGGCCUUACAUUUCAAUAAAAGUAGUAAAAUUGAACAAUCACAGGAAAUUCUUCACUUAUUCCCAUCAAGUCAAGAUGCUACAGAUCACUACAGCAUUUCUAUUAAAAA